rnacentral:rRNA from 1 species
ACAUUCUAGUGGCGGACGGGUGAGUAACACGUUGGAACUGCCCCAAAGUGAGGAAUAGCCACCGAAAGGUGGUCUAAUACUUCAUAAUAUCCAUCUCGUAUGGAUUAAAGCUUUAUGCGCUUUGGGAGGGGCCUGCGUAACAUUAGCUUGUUGGUGAGGUAAAAGCUCACCAAGGCUUCGAUGUUUAACUGGGUUUGAGAGGAUGACCAGUCACACUGGGACUGAGAUACGGCCCAGACUCCUACGGGAGGCAGCAGUAAGGAAUCUUCCACAAUGGGGGCAACCCUGAUGGAGCAAUACCGCGUGCAGGAUGAAGCGUUUCGGCGUGUAAACUGCUUUUAUCACCGAAGAUUAUGACUGUAGGUGAAGAAUAAGGACCGGCUAACUACGUG